GAGUUCUCGUGAGAUCUGAUGGUUUUAUAAUUAUCUGGCGUUUCCUCUGCUUGCUUUUGUCUCUUUUACCUGCUGCCGUGUAGGACAUACUUCUUCCCCUUCUGCCGUGAUUAUAAGUUUCCUGAGUCCUCCCCAGCCAUGCAGAACUACAUGGAUUCUCACUAUGACACCUAGGCUGGAGUGCAGUGGCACGAUCAUAGCUGACUACAGCCUCGAAUUCCUGGGCUAAAGCAAGCCUUUCAUCUCAACCUCCCCAGAAGCUGGGAUUACAGAUGGUGUCAGAAGCGGGGUUCAAAGUAGAGCUUUAAUGACCCCCAGAAGUGCUGAGUGAACAAGCAGGGUACCUGCAAGAACCCACUUGUGUCCUUUGAUCUCUCAGAGCAGUGGGAUGGUGGUGUUAGAGAGAUGACUGCAAAGGAGGACCUGUCCAUUUACAAGUGCACUUGGAUUCAGUUGACAUACAAUAACUACAUAUAUGUUGAGCAAAUAGAUAGAUGGAUGGAUGGAUGACUGGAUAGAAGAUAUAUUAAACUUUAUUCUGUCUAAAUCUUAAUUAAAAGA